rnacentral:rRNA from 1 species
AUGGUGAGUAUGUCUGGGAACUGCCUGAUGGAGGGGGAUAACUACUGGAAACGGUAGCUAAUACCGCAUAACGUCGCAAGACCAAAGAGGGGGACCUUCGGGCCUCUUGCCAUCGGAUGUGCCCAGAUGGGAUUAGCUAGUAGGUGGGGUAACGGCUCACCUAGGCGACGAUCCCUAGCUGGUCUGAGAGGAUGACCAGCCACACUGGAACUGAGACACGGUCCAGACUCCUACGGGAGGCAGCAGUGGGGAAUAUUGCACAAUGGGCGCAAGCCUGAUGCAGCCAUGCCGCGUGUAUGAAGAAGGCCUUCGGGUUGUAAAGUACUUUCAGCGGGGAGGAAGGGAGUAAAGUUAAUACCUUUGCUCAUUGACGUUACCCGCAGAAGAAGCACCGGCUAACUCCGUGCCAGCAGCCGCGGUAAUACGGAGGGUGCAAGCGUUAAUCGGAAUUACUGGGCGUAAAGCGCACGCAGGCGGUUUGUUAAAUCAAAUGUGAAACCCCCCGGGCUAA